rnacentral:ncRNA from 1 species
GGGUGCAGCCGCCGUCGGCUGCAGGCAUCGUGGAUGGUCGGGCCGCCAUCC